rnacentral:rRNA from 1 species
CUACGGGGCGCACCAGUGGGGGAUAUUGCACAAUGGGCGAAAGCCUGAUGCAGCAACGCCGCGUGAAGGAAGACGGUUUUCGGAUUGUAAACUUCUAUCAGCAGGGAAGAAAAUGACUGUACCUGACUAAGAAGCCCCGGCUAACUACGUGCCAGCAGCCGCGGUAAUACGUAGGGGGCAAGCGUUAUCCGGAUUUACUGGGUGUAAAGGGUACGUAGGCGGUUUAUUAAGUCAGAUGUGAAAGCCCGGGGCUCAACCCCGGGACUGCAUUUGAAACUGGUGAACUAGAGUACAGGAGAGGUAAGUGGAAUUCCUAGUGUAGCGGUGAAAUGCGUAGAUAUUAGGAAGAACACCAGUGGCGAAGGCGGCUUACUGGACUGUAACUGACGCUGAGGUACGAAAGCGUGGGGAGCGAACAGGAUUAGAUACCCUCGUAGUC